CCAGGCUCUGAGGGAGGAGUCAGGGGUCUGAAGAGGAGGCUUCUUUCAGAGAGGUAGCUCGGCUUUGGCUGAGGAAUCAACCUUAGGACCCUGCACAUGUUACGUCCUCAAAGACCCGGCCCACCCCAGGAAUGCCGCCAGCUACCAUGGAUGAUCGUCGGGGCUCAGCUACCAACUCAAUUGAAGAGCUGUGGCCCACAGCAAAGUCUUCACAGCGGUGUGUGUGCAGUGACUCGGGAAGACCCUAAGACUCCUGUGUACGGAAAAAGAAUGUGUAUGCCCAGCAUAGUUGAAAUUACUGGAAAUAAGAGAUAUAUAUCCAGCCGGGCGUUGGUGGCGCACGCCUUUAAUCCCAGCACUCAGGAGGCAGAGGCAGGCGGAUCUCUGUGAGUUCGAGGCCAGCCUGGUCUAC